GAUGAACGCUAGCGGCAGGCCUAAUACAUGCAAGUCGAACGGUGUCUUCGGACAUAGUGGCGCACGGGUGCGUAACACGUAUGCAACCUACCUUACAUUGGGGGAUAGCCUUUCGAAAGGGAGAUUAAUACCGCAUAAGACAGUAGCUGGGCAUCCAGCAGCUGUUAAAGAUUUAUCGAUGUAAGCUGGGCAUGCGUCCAAUUAGCUAGUUGGUGAGGUAACGGCUCACCAAGGCAAUGAUUGGUAGGGGAACUGAGAGGUCAAUCCCCCACACUGGCACUGAGAUACGGGCCAGACGCCUACGGGAGGCAGCAGUAGGGAAUAUUGGGCAAUGGACGCAAGUCUGACCCAGCCAUGCCGCGUGCAGGAUGAAGGCGUUAUGCGUUGUAAACUGCCUUUAUACAGGAAGAAACGACUCUUGCGAGAGGCAUUGACGGUACUGUAUGAAUAAGCACCGGCUAACUCCGUGCCAGCCGCCGCGGUAAAAC
rnacentral:rRNA from 1 species